CAGAAUAUAGUUUAUAAAAAUAAUAGUUUUGGAGACUAUAGAUGGAUAAUUAUCUUAUUCUGA
rnacentral:tRNA from 1 species